UACGUAGGGUGCGAGCGUUAAUCGGAAUUACUGGGCGUAAAGCGUGCGCAGGCGGUUUUGUAAGUCCGAUGUGAAAUCCCCGGGCUUAACCUGGGAACUGCAUUGGUGACUGCAGGGCUAGAGUGUGUCAGAGGGAGGUGGAAUUCCGCGUGUAGCAGUGAAAUGCGUAGAGAUGCGGAGGAACACCGAUGGCGAAGGCAGCCUCCUGGGAUAACACUGACGCUCAGGCACGAAAGCGUGGGGAGCAAACAGG
rnacentral:rRNA from 1 species